CCGCCGCGCGAGGUCUUCCUCCUGCCCCGUCCCUCGCGUAGUGGGCGUGGCCAGGCGACGCUACCCCGGGGCCCCGCCCCCUGCGCUUCUCGCGCCUCGCCCGUUCCCGCGCUGCCCGCGGAUUGGCCACCGCCUCUUUCCCGCUCCCUGCUGUGCCACGCGCUGAUUGGCCGCGGUCCGGCGAGGGCGUCCGCUGAUUGGCGGAGGGUUUUUGACGGACUGCGCGCGAGGGGAGAAGGGGGCAGAGGGAGCAGCAGCAGCGGCUCCGCAAACGUUUCCACCUGCGGCGGCUGCGAGCGUGGGCCCGGCCCGGGAGCCGCCCGCUGCCGCGCCUGGCCCCGCGGGAGGGCGCGCGGCCCCGGUGGAGCCGGGGGCGGCGAGGGGGGAGCGCCGGCGGCAGCACGGCGUCUCCCCGCCAUGAGCCCUCCUUGCCCGUCUUCGAGGGAGGCGGCUGUUCCCGCGGCGCUGGAGGGGACGUGCGGGUGUGAAAGGCGUGGCGGCGGCGCACGCCUGGUCUCCGUGCCCCGCGGGUUUCUCCUUCCAUCCCCCGGCCCGGCCCGCCUGAGCCACACUCGGGCCGCAUCCGCUGUCCUGGCAAUGAUGGAUUUCUUCAUUAGGUCUCCCCACCUCCAAACCCGCCUUGGCGUGUCGCCCCCGCCUCCGAGUGGGGUGAGGGAUGGAUGCCGAAACUGCUAGCGCGGGCAAUUAUUCUGCACCUCGCUACCUUCGCUCGUUACGCCGCGCCGCGAAACCAAUUACGCUGUAACAACUGCAAUAAGCUGCCGGUCCUGCUCGGAUGCGCAGGGGAGCGCGCGGCGGGGAGACAGGGGUGCGCAGAAGACGACCUUAUUACCGGUCUUCCCCGUCUCGGGUUCCCGUGACUCUGUGACAGCCAGAACGCGCCAGUGCCGGCAGGCCCCGGCACCGGGAUGCUAAUAAUUUCAGUCAUGUCUGUCUCGCAGCAUUUGGAAAUAUAUUAAUCUUUCUUACACCUCCAGUCAGAACCUUCAGGCCACCCUAUAAAUCCAGCAGUUUGAAAAAGGGAAAAAAGAACAGGCAGGACAUCCGUCAAGGAAGCUUAUUAAAUAUCUCUGCUGAUUAAUCUUAUUGACGAGGUGAACCCCCGUAAUUUUCUCCGCAGCGACUUGCACGCGGAAAGAGCUAUGGGCCUGCUACUUCCAGCCGAGGUGACUGCUGCAACUAACAAUUAAGUAAUGAACAGAUAAUAGCGUUACUGUUAACCGUAAUAAGUGAAGCCCAGAGUCAUGAGCCGAUGGUUUCAAUAAAUCACUUGGUACAAAUAUGAAGGGCCUGAAAGACGGACUGGGGGGAGGGGAAAACCUGAAAAUGUGUCGAUGUAGAGCGGAGGAGGAUCAGGAGCAGGGUCGUGGCUCUGCACAGGCCCCUCUUAGGCUCAGCUGCAAAUGCAAAAGGGAACAAUUCAGCUGCCUGCCACUUCCGGAGGUGGUAAAUUGAAGAGGGGAGAGUCUAGCGGAAGGGGGAGCCCAAAUCAGCCCUCGCAGCAACAUCCUGAUUUUGACACCAGAGAGCAGGCUCGGUGGCACCCUCUCCCACCAGCUUCUCUGGCCUUCUUUUGAUAUAGGAGAAUACUCAGACGCAGCAAAAACGAGGUUUCAAAGCUGAAAGAAAAGGGUCCAUCGUGUUGCCACCCGGGUUAUCAAACUUAAAAACUAAAAGUACUUUGAACACACGGGGAUCCCAGUGUAACCGUAUUGGUCUAGACUCUAGAGGGGAAAAAAAGGAACCAAAACUCAUGGUAGAGGUGAUUAUCAUUGCAAAUAAAGACUUUUUUUUUUUCUUUCUUUUUUUUUUUUCCAAAUAUUAAGUUGGUUUAAUAAAAGAUAUCAUCUCA